rnacentral:rRNA from 1 species
AACGAACGCUGGCGGCAUGCCUAACACAUGCAAGUCGAACGAGACCUUCGGGUCUAGUGGCGCACGGGUGCGUAACGCGUGGGAACCUGCCCUUAGGUUCGGAAUAACUCCCCGAAAGGGGUGCUAAUACCGGAUAAUGUCUUCGGACCAAAGAUUUAUCGCCUUUGGAUGGGCCCGCGUUGGAUUAGCUAGUCGGUAGGGUAAAAGCCUACCAAGGCGACGAUCCAUAGCUGGUCUGAGAGGAUGAUCAGCCACACUGGGACUGAGACACGGCCCAGACUCCUACGGGAGGCAGCAGUGGGGAAUAUUGGACAAUGGGCGAAAGCCCGAUCCAGCAAUGCCGCGUGAGUGAUGAAGGCCUUAGGGUUGUAAAGCUCUUUUACCCGGGAUGAUAAUGACAGUACCGGGAGAAUAAGCUCCGGCUAACUCCGUG